rnacentral:lncRNA from 1 species
AUGACUCGGAUCCCACUCAAGUUCCAUUCCAGCCAGCAACAGAUCAUCUUGCCAGAUGGUGCACAUCUGGACACCCCAGGCAGCAAGAGAGUUUGGAGAAACAUCUCGAAUGCAGGAGAGAUAAAAACUGAGGAGUGGAGAUGUGGAAGAUGUGAUACAAACGAGUAUCAAUCCCUGAUGUACGCUUAA